rnacentral:misc_RNA from 1 species
GUGAAGAACGUAGCGAAAUGCGAUAAGUAAUGUGAAUUGCAGAAUUCAGUGAAUCAUCGAAUCUUUGAACGCACCUUGCACCCUUUGGCAUUCCGAAGGGUAUGCUCGUUUGAGUGUCAUUGUACUCUCACACUCCCGAUCUUUGGAUUGGGAGCGGUGGACUUGGGUUUGCUGCUUGCCGUGGCUCACCUCAAAUGGAUUAGUGCAACUCUUGGUUGACCAUAGUACGGCGUGAUAAGUGUCUUCGCUGGCACCUCACUGGGUGGGCCGAUCGGGAGCUCUGUGCUUCAAACCGUCUUCGGACAACAACUGACAACUUGACCUCAAAUCGAGUAGGACCACCCGCUGAACUUAAGCAUAUCAAUAAGCGGAGGA